GAUGAGGCGCUAGCGACAGGCUUAACACAUGCAAGUCGGAGGGGCAGCAUCUCAGUUUGCUUGCAAACUGGAGAUGGCGACCGGCGCACGGGUGAGUAACACGUAUCCAACCUGCCGAUAACUCGGGGAUAGCCUUUCGAAAGAAAGAUUAAUACCCGAUGGUAUAAUUAGACCGCAUGGUCUUGUUAUUAAAGAAUUUCGGUUAUCGAUGGGGAUGCGUUCCAUUAGAUAGUUGGCGGGGUAACGGCCCACCAAGUCAACGAUGGAUAGGGGUUCUGAGAGGAAGGUCCCCCACAUUGGAACUGAGACACGGUCCAA
rnacentral:rRNA from 1 species